UGCCAGACUCCUACGGGAGGCAGCAGUGGGGAAUAUUGCACAAUGGGGGAAACCCUGAUGCAGCGACGCCGCGUGAGUGAAGAAGUAUUUCGGUAUGUAAAGCUCUAUCAGCAGGGAAGAAAAUGACGGUACCUGAUUAAGAAGCCCCGGCUAACUACGUGCCAGCAGCCGCGGUAAUACGUAAGGGGCAAGCGUUAUCCGGAUUUACUGGGUGUAAAGGGUGAGUAGGCGGCGAUGCAAGUCAUAUGUGAAAUUCCGGGGCUUAACCCCGGAGCUGCAUAAGAAACUGCGUUGCUUGAGUGCAGGAGAGGCAAGCGGAAUUCCUAGUGUAGCGGUGAAAUGCGUAGAUAUUAGGAGGAACACCAGUGGCGAAGGCGGCUUACUGGACUGUAACUGACGUUGAGGCUCGAAAGCGUGGGGAGCAAACAGGAUUAGAUACCCGCGUAC
rnacentral:rRNA from 1 species